UACGGGGGGGGGCAAGCGUUGUUCGGAAUUACUGGGCGUAAAGCGCGCGCAGGCGGACCGAUACAUCGGCGGUGAAAGCCCCCCGCUCAACGGGGGAGGGUCCGUCGAGAUGGUCGGUCUGGAGGCAGGGAGAGGCCAGUGGAAUUCCGGGUGUAGUGGUGAAAUGCGUAGAGAUCCGGAGGAACACCAGUGGCGAAGGCGGCUGGCUGGACCUGACCUGACGGCUGAGGCGCGAAGG
rnacentral:rRNA from 1 species